CCGGGUUGCGGACAGUGUCUGGUGGGUAGUUUGACUGGGGCGGUCUCCUCCUAAAGAGUAACGGAGGAGCACGAAGGUUGGCUAAUCCUGGUCGGACAUCAGGAGGUUAGUGCAAUGGCAUAAGCCAGCUUGACUGCGAGCGUGACGGCGCGAGCAGGUGCGAAAGCAGGUCAUAGUGAUCCGGUGGUUCUGAAUGGAAGGGCCAUCGCUCAACGGAUAAAAGGUACUCCGGGGAUAACAGGCUGAUACCGCCCAAGAGUUCAUAUCGACGGCGGUGUUUGGCACCUCGAUGUCGGCUCAUCACAUCCUGGGGCUGAAGUAGGUCCCAAGGGUAUGGCUGUUCGCCAUUUAAAGUGGUACGCGAGCUGGGUUUAGAACGUCGUGAGACAGUUCGGUCCCUAUCUGCCGCGGGCGCUGGAGAACUGAGGGGGGCUGCUCCUAGUACGAGAGGACCGGAGUGGACGCAUCACUGGUGUUCGGGUUGUCAUGCCAAUGGCACUGCCCGGUAGCUAAAUGCGGAAGAGAUAAGUGCUGAAAGCAUCUAAGCACGAAACUUGCCCCGAGAUGAGUUCUCCCUGACUCCUUGAGAGUCCUGAAGGAACGUUGAAGACGACGACGUUGAUAGGCCGGGUGUGUAAGCGCAGCGAUGCGUUGAGCUAACCGGUACUAAUGAACCGUGAGGCUUAACCUU
rnacentral:rRNA from 1 species